GACGAACGCUGGCGGCGUGCCUAACACAUGAAAGUGGAGCGACGAACCAGGCUUCGGCCUGGGGCAAAGCCGCGAACGGGUGAGUAACACGUGGGUAACCUGCCCUGAUGAUUGGGACAACCCGAGGAAACUCGGGCUAAUACCAAAUGUGCCCUUCGGCCACAAGGCCGCUGGGGAAAGGAAGCUUCGGCCUCCGCAUCUGGAUGGGCCCGCGGCCCAUUAGCUUGUUGGUGAGGUAACGGCUCACCAAGGCGACGAUGGUAGCUGGUCUGAGAGGACGAUCAGCCACACUGGGACUGAGACACGGCCCAGACUCCUACGGGAGGCAGCAGUGGGGAAUCUUGCGCAAUGCGCGAAAGCGUGACGCAGCAACGCCGCGUGGGGGAAGAC
rnacentral:rRNA from 1 species